GUAUCCUGAGUAGCGCGGGACACGAGAAAUCCUGUGUGAAUCCGGCGGGACCAUCCGCCAAGGCUAAAUACUCACCAGAGACCGAUAGUGAACCAGUACCGUGAGGGAAAGGUGAAAAGAACCUCGAACAGAGGAGUGAAAUAGACCCUGAAACCAUGUGCUUGCAAGCGGUCGGAGCCCCGUUUACGGGGUGACGGCGUGCCUUUUGCAUAAUGAACCUACGAGUUACUCUUGUUGGCAAGGUUAAGCGCAAUGAUGCGCGUCAGCCGCAGCGAAAGCGAGUCCGAACAGGGCGCAUAGUCAGCAGGAGUAGACGCGAAACCAAGUGAUCUACCCUUGAGCAGGCUGAAGUUUUGGUAACACAACAUGGAGGGCCGAACCGGUAAACGUUGAAAAGUUUUCGGAUGACUUGAGGGUAGGGGUGAAAGGCUAAUCAAACUUGGAGAUAGCUCGUACUCCCCGAAAUGCAUUUAGGUGCAGCCUCGGAUAAUGAGCUUACAUGAGGUAGAGCUACUGAUUGGAUGCGAGGGCUUCGCCGCCUAUCAAGUCCAGACAAACUCCGAAUGCGUGUAAGUGAUCUCCGGGAGUGAGGGCGCGGGUGCUAAGGUCCGUGUCCGAGAGAGGAACAACUCAGACCAUCGGCUAAGGUCCCCAAAUAUAUGCUAAGUUGCAUUAAACGAAGUUCUGCCGCUUUGACAGCUAGGAUGUUGGCUUGGAAGCAGCCAUUCAUUUAAAGAGUGCGUAACAGCUCACUAGUCGAGUGGCGGAGCGUGGAUAAUAAUCGGGCAUAAGCAUAUUACCGAAGCCAUGGAAUUCUAAUGAAUUGGUAGGGGAGCAUUCCGGUCCUGCGUUGAAGGCGUACUGCGAGGUACUCUGGAGCGUCCGGAAAAGCAAAUGUAGGUAUAAGUAACGAUAAUGCGGAUGAGAAAUCCGCACGCCGAAAGACUAAGGUUUCCUGAUCAACGCUAAUCGGAUCAGGGUUAGUCGGGGCCUAAGGAUAAGCCUAGAGGCGAUUCCGAUGGAAGAAACGGUUAAUAUUCCGUUACUGCUUUGAUAAGUUAUGUGGGGACGCAGAAGUGACACCACUGCCAUCUGACGGAAUAGAUGGUUGAAGGGGGUAGGCUGUGACCGGUGCAGGCAAAUCCGCACCGGGAGCUGAACCUGAAAGUAUGGCAAGUCUUCGGAUGAGCCAAUAAUGUGGGUAAGCAGACUGCCGAGAAAAUCCGCUAAACGCCAAUUAUCAACGCACCCGUACCGUAAACCGACACAGGUAGUUGGGUUGAAAAUACUAAGGCGCUCGAGUGAUUCACGGUUAAGGAACUAGGCAAAAUAGUCCUGUAACUUCGGGAGAAAGGACGCCACUGGCGACAGUGGCCGCAGAGAAUAGAUUCUGGCGACUGUUUAACAAAAACACAUGGCUAUGCGAAUUCGAAAGAAGCUGUAUAUAGCCUGACACCUGCCCGGUGCUGGAAGGUUAAGAGGAGAUGUCAUCGCAAGAGAAGCAUUGAAUUGAAGCCCCAGUAAACGGCGGCCGUAACUAUAACGGUCCUAAGGUAGCGAAAUUCCUUGUCGGGUAAGUUCCGACCUGCACGAAUGGCGUAACGACUUGGGCGCUGUCUCGACGAGGGGCUCGGCGAAAUUGUAAUACCUGUGAAGAUGCAGGUUACCCGCGGUUAGACGGAAAGACCCCGUGGAGCUUCACUGCAACUUGACAUUGAGUUUUGGUAUUCUUUGUACAGGAUAGGUGGGAGACUGUGAGUCAUGGGCGCUAGCCUGUGAGGAGUCAACCUUGGGAUACCACCCUGAGUGUACUGGAAUUCUAACCGCACACCGUGAUCCGGUGGCGGGACAUUGUCAGGUGGGCAGUUUGACUGGGGCGGUCGCCUCCCAAACAGUAACGGAGGCGCGCAAAGGUUCGCUCAGUGCGGUUGGAAAUCGCGCGUCGAGUGUAAAGGCAGAAGCGAGCUUAACUGCGAGACAAACAAGUCGAGCAGGGUCGAAAGACGGCCUUAGUGAUCCGGUGGUUCCGAGUGGAAGGGCCAUCGCUCAACGGAUAAAAGCUA
rnacentral:rRNA from 1 species